AUUGAACGCUGGCGGCAUGCCUUACACAUGCAAGUCGAACGGCAGCACGGGAGCAAUCCUGGUGGCGAGUGGCGAACGGGUGAGUAAUAUAUCGGAACGUGCCCAGUCGUGGGGGAUAACGUAGCGAAAGCUACGCUAAUACCGCAUACGAUCUAUGGAUGAAAGCGGGGGAUCGCAAGACCUCGCGCGAUUGGAGCGGCCGAUAUCAGAUUAGGUAGUUGGUGAGGUAAAGGCUCACCAAGCCGACGAUCUGUAGCUGGUCUGAGAGGACGACCAGCCACACUGGGACUGAGACACGGCCCAGACUCCUACGGGAGGCAGCAGUGGGGGAAUUUUUGGACAAUGGGCGCAAGCCUGAUCCAGCAAUGCCGCGUGCAGGAUGAAAGGG
rnacentral:rRNA from 1 species